AGUUGUAUGAGCUGGUAAAAGGGGAAAGCCUCUGUGGGGAUCCCAUGGUGAGUGGGAGAAGACAGAUGUGUUAGCAGCUGUUCAGCUAGAUAAUGAGUCAGCCCCCAGUGCACAUGGGUAAUUGACAAGGCGGCUAAUCCAUUCACAGACAAUCAAGAAUUGACCAUAUGCCACAGCUGGACUAUGUGUGGAGGCAGCUCAUAAGGAAAGAGGAAGA
rnacentral:lncRNA from 1 species